GACGAACGCUGGCGGCGUGCUUAACACAUGCAAGUCGAACGGAAAGGCCCUGCUUUUGUGGGGUGCUCGAGUGGCGAACGGGUGAGUAACACGUGAGUAACCUGCCCUUGACUUUGGGAUAACUUCAGGAAACUGGGGCUAAUACCGGAUAGGAGCUCCUGCUGCAUGGUGGGGGUUGGAAAGUUUCGGCGGUUGGGGAUGGACUCGCGGCUUAUCAGCUUGUUCGUGGGGUAGUGGCUUACCAAGGCUUUGACGGGUAGCCGGCCUGAGAGGGUGACCGGCCACAUUGGGACUGAGAUACGGCCCAGACUCCUACGGGAGGCAGCAGUGGGGAAUAGUGCACAAUGGGCGGAAGCCUGAUGCAGCAACGCCACGUGCGGGAUGACGGCCUGCGGGUUGUGAACCGCUUUCGCCUGUGACGAAACGUGAGUGACGGUAAUGGGUAAAGAAGCACCGGCUAACUACGUG
rnacentral:rRNA from 1 species